GUCCACAGGGAGUCAUGGCAACACUCUUCCAGCAAACGAAACUUGCAGACAGUGCGGCAUGACUCCUGAGGUUGUCCUGAGACCAUGAAAGGCACAGAGCCCUGCAGAUGAUCAAAUCGAGAAACACAGUGAAGGACAGGACAUCAGAGCAAGAGAGCUGGUGGGCAGAGCCUGGUCCUGGGGAGUGGCAUUUUGGACUGACAUGUAUGUGAGUCCGCGCAGUUUCGCUAGUGAAAGAUGCAGUGAGAUAAUUCGGGUCAAGUGCGGACAGGUCAUCUCUUUCUGGAAGCCGGCUGGUAAGAGCACAGGCCACUUCCUCCUCUGGAUCCAGGUGGGCAAGCUGAUGGAGGCCAGGUUCCAGAUACAUGGCUGGCUGCGUUCGAAUUAAUUACAUGCCGUUUCUUAAUUAUACUAGAAACUCGCUUUCUGCCCUUUGAAAAACUCUCCCCUGUAUGGGAAUUUUUCUUUUACACUCUGUUCCCUUGGCUCCUUGUCUGAUUUUUUUUUUCUUUCUCUACUGUCCAAUAGAGGUGUGGGAAAAAAAAAUUGAAAUCUAUGUCUCAA